GACUACGUAGCUCAGUUGGCAGAGCAAUAUUGGGCUGGUAUUCCAAAGGUCGUAGGUUCGAAUCCCACCGUGGCCA